UUAUAGCCCAGAUUGCAGCGAAAAUCCUUUUUUCUUGAAAAAAGAUUGCAGCGGAAAGCUGGACUGCGU
rnacentral:sRNA from 1 species